ensembl:lncRNA
AGAUCCGAGUAGCACCCACAACGCAGCUGCUGCAGUGUCACGGAAGGAUUGUAGCAUGGAUGCAUUAUGGAUAAAGUAAAAACGUUUGUGUUUCAGCUUCAUAUGAUGUGCAUGCAUUUCGGAGGAGUGCACGUGGGAGACGGAAUGGUGAGAGGACGGGGGGAGAAAACUAAUGGCAGGCCAGGAUCACUGGCUGCUACUCCGACACACUUCACCAGCCACCAGCUGCCCCCCCAACGACACCACCAGCUGGACUUUCCCACUGAGCCCUCUUCAACCCCGGAGGCUUUAUUAUCCCUUUUCUAAACCCGUCACUGGCUGUGUUUUAGUGUUAUGUACAAUGCGUUGGCAUUAUUAUUGCUAAUGCAUAAUGCAUAUAUUUGUUUUUGUUGUUAGACCACCG